rnacentral:rRNA from 1 species
UACGUAGGUGGCAAGCGUCGUCCGGAAUUAUUGGGCGUAAAGCGCGCGCAGGCGGUUUCUUAAGUCUGAUGUGAAAUCUUGCGGCUCAACCGCAAGCGGUCAUUGGAAACUGGGAGACUUGAGUGCAGAAGAGGAAAGCGGAAUUCCAUGUGUAGCGGUGAAAUGCGUAGAUAUAUGGAGGAACACCAGUGGCGAAGGCGGCUUUCUGGACUGUAACUGACACUGAGGCAUGAAAGCGUGGGUAGCAAACAGG